rnacentral:lncRNA from 1 species
CCCCUUCGCAAAGCUUUCUUUAUGCAUUUUUUUGUAAUUUUGAAAGAGACAAGCACGAUUUAUGUUAUCAUCAAUUGGUCAACGGCGGACGGUGUAAAUAGUCUUUAAAAAUGUAAUAGCUAAACAGAUAACUGCAACGAUACACUACUACAAAGUCCACAAGCAAAUCAUGUAUUGCUUUUUAGGCAUUUGAUUUUAAAUAAGAC